UGGGGAAUCUUGGACAAUGGGCGCAAGCCUGAUCCAGCCAUGCCGCGUGAGUGAUGAAGGCCCUAGGGUUGUAAAGCUCUUUCACCGGUGAAGAUAAUGACGGUAGCCGGAGAAGAAGCCCCGGCUAACUUCGUGCCAGCAGCCGCGGUAAUACGAAGGGGGCUAGCGUUGUUCGGAAUUACUGGGCGUAAAGCGCACGUAGGCGGAUUGUUAAGUGAGGGGUGAAAUCCCAGGGCUCAACCCUGGAACUGCCUCUCAUACUGGCAAUCUCGAGUUCGGGAGAGGUGAGUGGAAUUCCGAGUGUAGAGGUGAAAUUCGUAGAUAUUCGGAGGAACACCAGUGGCGAAGGCGGCUCACUGGCCCGAAACUGACGCUGAGGUGCGAAAGCGUGGGGAGCAAACAGGAUUAGAUACCCCCGUAGUCC
rnacentral:rRNA from 1 species